UCUGCGGGACUUGAAGAGGGCAGGCCUCCGCUCCUCUUCCCCAGGGGCCGUGCCCCUCACACACACACCAACACCACCCCUCCCGCGACACACACGCAAGUACUUGGGGCGACUGGGCGCCGCUCCCACGCCAGAGCCCUGCCCCGCGCCAGCCUGGGGCCGAGCCGUCAGGCCCCUUCUCCUGCACCCCCACCCCCGCCCGCUGCCGAGGCUCCAGAUGGCGGCUCCUUGCGCUCGGCUUGCAGCCCCCAGACGCCGCCCGGCAGCAGCCGGCAGUCGCUCCCUCCCUCCCAGCUGCUGCGGCAAGACCGGGGCCAUUUCGUGAGGCGGGCGGACUCCUCGGCAGGCUCGGAUUGGGGUGGGAGCGCAGCCGCCAAGAGGCCCGCAGGAGCUGAGCUCGCGGGGAAGGAGCUCCGCAGUCCCCAGGUAAGGAAGCCGCGGGCAGGCACGGGGAGGGAAGGGAGGAGCGAUCACCUGACCAAACCCUCUCUCUCUCCUGACCUUCCUCCCCUCUGCCCCUUCUUCCCCGGCGCCGGGGGCGGGACAGUUUCUGGACCCGAGCACCGGCGAGAAGCAGGGAGCGGCCGCACAGCAGCCAGGAGGGGGCGCCAGCACCCCAGGGCCGGAGCUGCAGGGCUGGCUCGCCAGGCGUCCCGCCCCGCCCCAGGGAACGCUCCCACGGCCGCAAAGGUGCCCCCUUCCGCUGGAAAGCGGUAUUGCCCACCGCGACCCCCUUCAAUUCUCGCUGUACUCCUCUCUCGCUUCCUUUUUGCAUCUCUCUCUCCUCCUCCUCCCCCCUCCCCCUCCUCCUCCUCCUCCUCCUCUUCCUCCCUCUCUCCCUCCCUCUCUCAGUCUUUCUCCCUCUUCCCUCUCUCUAUCUUCCUCUCAGCCCCUUUUCUUUUCCUUCUCCCUCCCUCCCCGCUGGCCCGCCAGUACUUUUCCUUCUCCUUUCCGAUCACUGUCUGGGGGAGGGUUUGUCGCCCGCCGGGAGGUAGUGUGAAGGGGAUGGACGGGUUUCCCGCUCAGGCUCUGGUUCGGGCUCCUCUCCGUAGGUGCCUCCCUGGGUGCUCGCGAAAGCAGCCCUGA
ensembl:lncRNA